UCUGGAAAAGGCCCCAGGCAUCGUGGGUCGGUGGGUUCCUCCCACAUAGGUUCCCAUUUUCCUGCCACCCCCCACCUAGCCUCUAUUUCCUCCUCCCCCCUCUCCCCCUCACUGGCUUCCCCACAGUCCCGUCUCCAUGGCAACUUGAGGAGGCCAGCUUUCCUGCCCCCACCUGGCCUAGCGGAGGAGCCCUGGGGGUGGGAUGCCAGCAGCAGCCCGGGCUCUCCUGGCAUCCCCACCCUUGCUCUGAGAAGUGAGGGAUCUCAGAGGAGGCCCCAGGGACCCUGUCGGGCCUCCUGCUUUCCCACUGUUGCCUUGGUUACAGUGCCCCUCCAGGCUCUUCUCCCCUUCCCACUCUUCCUCCUGCCUUUCUCCCUCCUCCCUCCGCCUUUCCUUCAUCCUUCUCUCUCUGCCCAGCCCAGAAGCUUCCGCAACUGCCAGCUGAGGCCUCCCCUUGCCGCCCCAGCACAGACAAAGGGAGAAGAGGCAAGGCCUGGCCGUCUUUCCUCGUGGGGACCCUCUGUCCUGCCUGACCACCCAACUCCCUGCCUCAACUCCCCAGGCCUUACCCAAAAGCCACAGAAGAGGGGCAGGACCCUUGGUAGCCACUGUGGCCCACCUCACACCACCCCAGUCUCAGCAACUGCACUUACCUCGAAUCUCCAGGUUCCUGGGGCGGGCCGAGGAGAUGGGCCGGGGGCAUCUUCGUUCCAGGCUUGGGAAUCUGGACAGGGGACUGAUGAGACUGGCCUCACCUUCCAGCGCCCCCCACCCUGCAAUGACUUACUCUUUUCCCCAAUAUAAUAAAGCAGCUGCAUUUUUACAGUGGGUCUUACUGCUUCAUUGGACUCAGAGGAGCCAUUCACGAUGAGCCUUUCCAACACUGCAGCAGGGCCAGUGAGGUCGGCAUUUUGAAAACAAGGGGCCCACCGUGACUUACCUACACUUCUAGGGGGUGGAAGGGGUGGCCCCAACCUGCAAUCAGACUCUAGUCAAUCCGCACUGCUCCCAGGCCAUUCACACCUGAGACUAUGUGAGUGGCGCCCCGUGGAGUUGUGUGCCAGUAGCCUGGGACCAGCUCAGCAGGAAGAACAGUCUGGGGGUAGAGCUAGUGCCUGGUGGGUAUGUGAGCUGGUGCCCCAGUGAAGCCAGUAGUGGGGGAGCCCUGGUGCUCACAGUGGGGUGGAGGUAGGUGAAUGGUCUCACUGGGCAGGUAGGGCUGUGCCCAGGAAGGGGGCAGCGAGGUAGAGACAAGAGAGGAGGCAGAGGACUCACCGGAGCUUGCUUCCCCUGAACUGGUCCUGGAAAGAAUCAGGGGGUAGUCAGUGUAACCGGGAUGCCUCUCCCUGGGAGAAGUCCUGGGCCCCCAGGGGUGGUGGGCACAUCUGUGCGCCUGGGGCUGCCCCAGAACAAACUCUCACCAUGGCUGGCCUGAAGGAGCUAUGAUUCCCGGGAGCCCAGGCUCUACCACAAAUGGCCUAGGGACAGAGGCCCUAUUAUUCUCAUCAUUUGCAUCUGACAAGCACCAGGAAUGUGGGUGUGCUGUGGCCUCUAACCUCAGACCAAGUUGCCCCAGGAGGCUCCCAUAAGCUCCUCUCUGUUGCCUUCCACAGCUGCGGUCCCUGGUCUCCAGCCCCCCCUGCCCCACUGGAGAAGAGCUCUCCCCUCUGCUCCAGGGCCUCAGGCCCAAAAACUGGACCAGUGCUCAGAAGCUUCCUGUAGCUCUCUGAUCGGUGCCCCCAGGAGGCUCCAACUCACCCCUCCACCAGCCAGACUGUCCUUUCCCAACACACAGAACAUUAAUGGGCAGGUCAGGUUGAAAAUGAGAGACUGUCCUUGCACUUUUCUUAAACGCUUUACACUUGCUAUCCUUCCCUGGUGAAUGGUGACCAAUGAUCAAAGAAACAGAGGUCAGUGAAAAGCUCAGAAAUAUGCAUGUGUAUUUAGUUUGACAGCUUCCUUUCUGGAUGGCUGUAUUUAUUCAUUGAGUAAAUAUUUAUUGAAUAUCCUCUCUAUGCCAGGCACUGUUCCAGGUGCUGAAGAUGUUGUAGAAAAACCAAAGGAAUCAUGUGUAUUUCCUGCUGGAUCGUCACAAUGGCCUCAUGAUGCUGAUGUGAGUUUAUCCCUGCAGUUGAGAUGAGGGAAGUGAGCGUAUGAGUCAGAGC
rnacentral:lncRNA from 1 species